rnacentral:rRNA from 1 species
UACGUAGGGUGCGAGCGUUAAUCGGAAUUACUGGGCGUAAAGCGUGCGUAGGCGGUGAUGUAAGACAGUUGUGAAAUCCCCGGGCUCAACCUGGGAACUGCAUCUGUGACUGCAUCGCUGGAGUGCGGCAGAGGGGGGAUGGAAUUCCGCGUGUAGCAGUGAAAUGCGUAGAUAUGCGGAGGAACACCGAUGGCGAAGGCAAUCCCCUGGGCCUGCACUGACGCUCAUGCACGAAAGCGUGGGGAGCAAACAGG